CUACGGGAGGCAGCAGUGGGGAAUUUUGGACAAUGGGCGCAAGCCUGAUCCAGCCAUGCCGCGUGCAGGAAGAAGGCCUUCGGGUUGUAAACUGCUUUUGUCAGGGAAGAAAUCCCUUGGGUUAAUACCUCGGGGGGAUGACGGUACCUGAAGAAUAAGCACCGGCUAACUACGUGCCAGCAGCCGCGGUAAUACGUAGGGUGCAAGCGUUAAUCGGAAUUACUGGGCGUAAAGCGUGCGCAGGCGGCUUUGCAAGACAGAGGUGAAAUCCCCGGGCUCAACCUGGGAACGGCCUUUGUGACUGCAAAGCUGGAGUGCGGCAGAGGGGGAUGGAAUUCCGCGUGUAGCAGUGAAAUGCGUAGAUAUGCGGAGGAACACCGAUGGCGAAGGCAAGCCCCUGGGCCUGUACUGACACUCAUGCACGAAAGCGUGGGGAGCAAACAGGAUUAGAUACCCCUGUAGUCC
rnacentral:rRNA from 1 species